ACACUGUACGAGUUUGAUCAUGGCUCAGAACGAACGCUGGCGGCAGGCCUAACACAUGCAAGUCGAGCGCGCCCUUCGGGGUGAGCGGCGGACGGGUGAGUAACGCGUGGGAACGUGCCCUUUUCUACGGAAUAGUCUCGGGAAACUGGGGGUAAUACCGUAUACGCCCUUCGGGGGAAAGAUUUAUCGGAGAAGGAUCGGCCCGCGUUGGAUUAGGUAGUUGGUGGGGUAAUGGCCUACCAAGCCUACGAUCCAUAGCUGGUUUGAGAGGAUGAUCAGCCACACUGGGACUGAGACACGGCCCAGACUCCUACGGGAGGCAGCAGGUGGGGAAUCUUAGACAAUGGGGGCAACCCUGAUCUAGCCAUGCCGCGUGAGUGAUGAAGGCCUUAGGGUUGUAAAGCUCUUUCAGCUGGGAAGAUAAUGACGGUACCAGCAGAAGAAGCCCCGGCUAACUCCGUG
rnacentral:rRNA from 1 species